UACGUAGGGUGCGAGCGUUAAUCGGAAUUACUGGGCGUAAAGUGUGCGCAGGCGGCAGAGCAAGUCGAGUGUGAAAGCCCCGGGCUUAACUUGGGAAUUGCGCUCGAAACUACUUUGCUGGAGUGUGGCAGAGGAAGGUGGAAUUCCACGUGUAGCGGUGAAAUGCGUAGAGAUGUGGAGGAACACCAAUGGCGAAGGCAGCCUGCUGGGCCAACACUGACGCUCAUGCACGAAAGCGUGGGGAGCAAACAGG
rnacentral:rRNA from 1 species